AUGUGCUGAGAAAGCAGUAGGAGGCAACCAAAUAUGAAAAAUAUAUUGUUUAUUAAAACUAAAUAGGGUAAACAUCAAAAAAGGUGGAGGCUCCAACAAAAAGCAAAGCAAACCAACAAGUAGGAAACAACAGGGGGGUAAGAACAUUCAUACUGGGGAGGAUAAGGACUGAUAGGAAGUUGAUGUAAAGAAAAAUCCCAGGUGAGAGGAUACAUGAGAAACAUGAGAGGAUGUAGGGUUCAACAAAGUAGAGACAAAAUAAUAAAUAAAACACCAAACCCAAAUAAAUGCACAAGGACAAACACUUCCAAAUGAAAACAGAAACAAAACAUCACAAAGCUCAGGUGGUGAAGCUGUUUUCUGGAAAACCUAGCGUACAGGUGCUAACAACUGCGUACCUGAUUGACAGAAUCUGUAAGUACGGCCUUCAAAUUCUGCCGGGGACGGUUGCACAACAGAAUCAAAGUUUGACGAAGACAAAGACAAGGUUUUUGAUCAAUCACUUAGAAAGAAUGUUCAAAGAAGGCAGUUUCAUCAUCUGGCUUACUGUUAUUAGAAACAGCUUUUAGUCAAUGCUUGAGUCAUUGUAAACGUUACAAAUAAUAUACGGACUUUAACCAGAGAUGUAUCAAAGAGACUGGAUGUUUGGAGGAUGGAGAGGUUUUGAACAGCAGCCUUCUGAGAGAGAUCAGAACAUGAUGCUGUAAAUGUGGGGAAAUAGUCAUUGCUAGGGAUGGGUACUUGGUGCCAAGUUAGUGCUGGUACAUACGGUAUUUGGUACUACUACUGUCAUUGAAUCUUGACAGUGCAUCAUUUCGGACAUCCAUUUUACUAACCCGUUUUGUCACUUUUGGGGUGACGCGGCCUAACCUGGUCAUUUGUGGGCGAAGGCAGGGUACACCCUCGACAGGCCCACAGGCUGUUGCAGGACCACAAUCACACACACUCGCAUUCUCAAACAUGUCAAUUAGGGCUGGGAAUCACUGGGUACCGAUGCGAUACGCGAUACAUGAUUCACGAUAUUGAUGAUAUUGCAAUACUGGGAUAAUUGGUAAAAUAAUCUUUAAUAACUCACAAUAUAUAGAAGAACACAUAUGAUUUUGGAAUAUAUGUCCCUAUUUUUUUUUAGCUUGAACACAAUUAAAAUACACAACUUGUGUCUAAUUUUAUGCAACAAAUUAUGGACACUUUUGUACAACAUUGCUGAAAUCAGUAAUCCUUUGUCUUUAACAAGCAUUGAGACCAAUUGAAUUGGAAUUAUCUGUAAAAUUCAUUGUCAACAAAAGUAAAUAUGAACAGCAGUGCCACUACUUAGUACAAACAGACAACAACAGAACAAAAAUCAAAUAAUUCAAGUAGCUGCCAGACACAUUGGUGCCCAUGACACCAGUCUUGAAACACACCCCCUUGUAUGCCUCCAAAGGAACGUCUCACCAAAGGAAUAUAACGUUUUACAGCCUCUUCAAACAAAAAUAAAAGAUUGAUACUUGGCGAGAACUCAUCAAGAAUCAAUCACAUGACAAAAUGUUGUGAUAUUUUGGCACAUCCCUAAUGUCAGUCCCUUGUAUUUAACUCAGUUUUGUUGAUCAAUACCAGCCAAUCAUUGUACCUUUCCAGGGAAUGUGGGCGGGUCAUGAGUUUCUUUCAAAGUGUGCCAUCAUUUUUAGGAACCAAAAAUGGCCUUUAUCUAUUCUUCUAUCCUUUUAGAACCAGUACAUGGAAACUACAAUUUUUUUAAGUUGAAUUUAGCCAAAAAUCAUAUCGGAUGAAAUAUUUAUUGAGGAGCAGCCUGUAGUUCUCUGCUAACAGCAAGUCUUCAUCCACUGUUUCAGCCAAACCAAUACUUUAAGGUGACAGGAAGUGAUUGAUUUCUUUUUUUUGUUUAUAGGCUCCAAUUAAGUCAAAUAUGCUAACCAUUUAUCAAACAAUCUGGGACACUGUCUGGGGGAAAGGAAUAGAUCAAGACUCCUGUUUAUGCAAUCAUCAAAUAAGUAAAAAAAAAAAAAAAGAAAAAAAAACUUUUGGAUGUUUGAUGCUGUUUUACCACAAUUCUGUCCAUCACAGUUUUGUAAAAAUACUUUUCUCAAACAAUUCAAUUUAUUUAUGUUACCCCAAGGUCACAAACAGUUGUCUUAUUGGGCCUCAUACUAUUAAUUGUAGAAAAGCAGAAGGUCCGUCAUGAAAUAUAGACAACACCUUAUUGCUAAACUGAACUAAACAGACUAAACUAAACUGGUUAUCCCUGGCCUGAGAUCCUCCUUCUCAGUGAUGAAAAACACCUAAGAAAAGCGCGAUUUCAGGAAAAAAAAGAAGAAGCUUCAGGGAUACCCACACGAAGAAGGGAUCCUCUUCCAGGGCGGGAAGGCGAUGUACCAGGACUGUUAAGGAAGAAGUAGCCUAUCUAACUCUACACCUAUAUGUUUGAAUAGUGGUCAUCCAGAUAGAACUGAAGGACGGGUAGGGGCGAGGUCCACAGCCACAACGAGCCAGAGGUGAGGUCCACAGCCAAGAACAGGAGCACAGACGAUCCGUCUGGAAUCUGGAAUCCUUCGGGGAGUGGGAAAUGAGAACAACACUUGAAUUGCACUGCACCAAACAGAAGGUUGAAGUUGUUGAGCUAAGACCUUGAGGUUUGUGUGGCUGGAAGAGGUGAGUCAGACUCACAUGCUGGAAUGUUGCUCAUCAUAUUCUUAAAAUUAAACAUUUUCGCAGAAGCCAGAGCACGUUGAUCUCUGAGCAUGUUGCUUUUUUUUAAAAAGAGGUUGACUCUUAAAAACCUGCUGCCCACUGCUUGCUCUGGGGAGACUGACUCAGUUUCCCUGAAGCAAAUGGUGUCAGUGACUCAAAGUCGAUGACUGAGAUGCAAUAUUCAAGGUUACUCCUGCAAUUCUUGGAAUAAUUUUAGUAAAUGGUGAGUAGCAGAUGAUGACAAGUACAGGGAUGCAUGAGAAAAUAAGCUAACUUCCAGUGAUAAUGUGGAGCUGCAACACUUACCUCUGUAAAAGAGCAGAUUUCAAGUCCAAAUUUCCUCUAGUUCUCCUUCAGUUCAUUUCUGCAUGUAAAUGUGGAGUCGCACGAAAGGAAGACUUGCAACAAAAAAAAAAAAAUUCUAAAAGUGCAAGUGAUUUAGUAUUUGUAUUCAAAGACAUGGCCACCCAAAAAGCAGUCGUCUCAGGUCAGGAAUACUUCACAGGAGAUGGUACUACUCCAAAAACUACAAAAAAAGAGAUGGAUUCUGUAAGGAAUGUGAACAAAAGUGGCUGAACUGUGAAACGGUUAAGCUACAAUGAACUAGCAAUGCUGUGAGGAGAACAGAACAAUGUGCAGAUGUUAAACAGGUCAAACACAUGAUCGUGAUUAGCCAGAGGUGAUGAUGUGACUCAAGACUGCAGACUAGAGGUAUGAAAAAAGCCCAGUACUGGAAACUGGAAGAACUACUAUACAUCAGGGGUCCCCAACCUUUUCAGACCAUGUUAAAAAAAGUUUUUGGAUGGAGGAUGAAGUGGCUGAUUUUUUUUUAAGAUUCCAGUUUUCCUUAACUUUUGAGGGUUUACCUUCUGCCUCAGUAAAAUAUCUGCAGCUGCCUUGAAAGUUAUUUCUAUACUAGAUUUUACAUAGGAAGCAUUAAAGGAACCAAUAAAAUAUGAUAACUGUCAAAUUGGAACCUAAAACUUCAGCUAUAUAUGAUGUUUGAGGUGUGACAGAAGAAUAAAAAAAAAGUUUAAAUUGUUAUUUAUUUCUAAAUGUUUGAACAACUUUAUUAGCAAUAUCCUCGUGACAAUAGGCAGUCGGUUAUCAUUACGGGGAUAGUUUAAAUUUCGCAGUCGGUGCAGCCGCUUUAAAGGGUCUAUAUCAGGGGUUUGCAACCUGCGACUUUGGAGGCACAUGCGGCCCAUAAGCUCUCCAUUGUGGCUCUGUGGUUAAUAAAAAAUACAAUAUUUUCAAUUUGAAAAAGCAACAUAUAUUAGGUUUAUCUUAUAGUUUUAUUAAGGAAAAAAAAAAAAAAAAAAACUCCUUCACAAACAUUUGAGGAGCAGCAUGUAUCACUCCACCAGGAUCCUGACUACAUUACCCACAAUGCUCCAACAACCCAUCAAGCAGUUUGGCUUCUUAUUUUACCAAAAGUGCUGUUUACCACAGAAAAUCAAUUUGAAGUCAGUACACUCAACCACAAUUCACAAUUCCAUAAAAUGGAUGGCACCCACAAGGAGCGAAAGGCGGAGCCUCAGAGAUCAAGUCAUCUUACUCCUGAAGACAAAACUCAUUUCCAUAGAAAAAUUAGUUCUAUAGUGUGAAAAAGUUAAUAUAGGAUCACGUCUAUGGAUAGGCUUCAGAAUGACAUUAAGUAGUGGUUGUAUUUUCAUCAUCGGACCAAGGGAUUUGUGAGAGAAUCCAGUCGUUAUUCAAAAUAAAACUUCCCUCAGAACUAAAUUGUAAAUCAAAAUGGGAAAAAGGUUUUUUUUUUUUUUUUUCCUCUGCGGCCCAGUACCAGCUCUCCAGGGACCACAUCUAUACAUGUCAUAGCAGCAAAAUGUUCCGUAAUGACCAAUGUGGUUUCAAUAGACGUUUUUGAUAAACAAAAUCUAUGUGCACGGUAGUUUUUUUUUUGUUCUUUAUAACAGAAGAUGUGGACAGUUAAAACCCAUUGUCUGUUAUUAGAUAAACACACUUUAAUGUAACAAAGGAUAAAUACUGAACUCAUAACUAACGUUUUUGAUUUUAAAGGAAAACACAAACGUAAUAGCCUCGGCACGACAGAAAUAUAUUAAACUGUGCUAUGUAGAAAAUAUACAUCAAAAGCUAAUCCAAUUGACUUAUUAAAUCAUUUUCAAAGACCAGAAAAUGAAACCUGCGUUAAUAUAUGAAUUGUCAAAUGGAAACGGCAAGAAUAUGGUUUAAAAAAAAAAAAGCCAAGUGCAAGUGCUGGAGCUAUGGUUGUGGUAAGAAAUAGGCCAAAAUUAAAUAACUUCAUAGAUAAAGGAAAUGUUUUCAUUCUUUCCAAUUAUACAGGUUGGAUUUUCUAAAUUCCUGAAAGAAACCUUUUAAAUGUGUUGUGGGAGGUAAAUUAUAAAGCUGAGAUGGGCUCAGAUAAACCUUUGGGUUAUUGGAGGUAUUUGUGCUGGGAAAUGAUUAAAAUGUUUGGAAUGCGAUUAAUUGCAUAUUUUUCUGUGAUUAAUCUUGAGUAAUUGUUUUGCUGACUGCAAAAAAUUAAUAACGGGGUAUGAGUCCUGAAAUGUAUUCCUGACUCGGAGUUCUUCCUGAACUUCUCAUAUUUUAAGAAAUGAAACAACAGAAAACUUAGUAAAAUAAAACAAUUUAAAUAAUGUUUAUUUAAAUAUUUAAAGGUGAUAAUCCAUCUAUAGCUCUGUGUUUAGCCAGAUGACUGUGCAACACUUUGGUCAGCUGAGAUUAAGAAUGUGCUACAGAAAAUAAGAUACGUUAAUUUGACUCCUAAAGGCUUAAGCAAGCAAAGAUAAUCUGAACAAGAAAGCUCACUCGGCCAAAUAACAAUGCUGUGGCCGAGACAGAAAUGAAAAGUGUGAGAGGGUUGAAGGUGAGAAAAAAGAAAAGAAAUAGCUUUUUGAUAUUCUUAUAUUGCUGGCACCUGACUCUGUCUGGGGGAAAGUAAAAUUAUUUGACAAAAAUAAAUAAGCUUUGGCUGGAGCUGUCUUCUCGAUACCUUUGUGGUCAAAGAAAACGCAUGCUGAAUUGAUGUAUGAGAUGAGAAAAAAAAUGAAAGUCUGUCAUCACAGUAAGAAAUUGCCCAGGGUUUAAAAAUCGUAUAAACACAACACCAAUGAGAGCUGAGAGAAAGGAGGAGACGUGAGAAUGGACAGAAAAUCAUAAGGAAAGAAAAUAAAUGUAUCAAACCACCAGUGAAAAUAUAUAAAAAGAGAUUACAUUUUUGAGCAUUAAAGAUUAUAGUGACAACAUUAACAUUAUAACAUUAUAGUGAAAAUCCUCGAAUUUACCAAAACGAGACAUUUAUAAAGUUGUAGAAACACAAUGCAGCUUAUGUGUAGCAGUUCCACAAUGUGUGUUUUUUUAUGCAUUACUAACAAGGUUGUGAGUUUGCGUUGCCACAUUUGUUUUUGAGAUAUCAAUCUGUUUUUGUUUGUGUUGCAAACGAGAUUGGGAGAUACGGCUUUUGUGACAAAGCGGCCAACAAUGAACUGUGUUCCUUUUUUUGUUUUGCUAACAAGGUUGGGAGUUAGGGUAGUCACAGUAACAUUUGUUUUAGCGGUCUCAGUCAUUGUUUUGCAAGUCACAAGUAGGACUCAAAUCUUUGUCCAAGUCAAGUCCCGAGUUGAGUCACAAGUCAAUACCAACAAGUUCCAAGUCAAGAUCAACGAGUCCCAAGUCAAGACCAACAAGUUUCAAGUUAAGUCAUGAGUCAAAACCGACAAGUCUCAUUUUGAGUCGCAAGUCAAGACAAGUCUCAAAUCAAGUCACAAGUCAAGACUAACAAGUCUUAAGUUGAGUAACAAGUCAAGAUCAACAAGUCCCAAGUCAAGAGCAACAAGUCUCAAGUCGAGUCACAAGUCAAGACCAACAAGUCUCAAGUUGAGUAAAAAGUCAAGAUCAACACAUCCCAAAGCCAAGACCAACAAGUCUCAAGUCACAAGUCAAGACCAACAAGUCUCAAGUCACAAGUCAAGAUCAACAAGUCUCAAGUCAAGUCACAAGUCAAGACCAACAAGUCUCAAGUUGAGUAACAAGUCAAGCCCAACAGAUCCCAAGCCAAGACCAACAAGUUACAAGUCAAGAUCAACAGGUCCCAAAUCAAGACUAGCAAGUCUCAAGUCAGGACACAAGUCAAGACCAACAAGUCUCAACUCAACUCGCUGGUCAAGACCAACAAGUAUCAAGUCAAUUCACAAGUCAAGACUAAGAAGUCCCAAGUCAAAACCAACAAGUCUCAAGUUGAGUCACAAGUCAAGACCAACAAGUCUUAGUUUGAGUCAUAAGGCAAGAUCAACAAGUCUCAAAUCGAGUCACAAGUCAAGACCAACAAGUCUUAAUUUAAGUCACAAGGCAAGACCAACAAGUCUAAAGUCAAAUCAGAAGUCAAGACUAACAAGUCUAAAAUCAAGACACAUGUCAGAAAAACAAGUCUCAAGUCAAAUCUCAAGUUUAGAUCAACAGGUCCCAAAACAAGACCAACAAGUCUCAAGUUGAGUCACAAGUCAAGACCAACAAGUCUAAAUUCGGGUCACAAGUCAAGACCAACAAGUCUCAAUUCAAGUCACUAGUCAAGAUCAACAAGUCUCAAGUGGAGAAGCAAGUCAAGAUCAACAAGUCCCAAUUCAAGACCAACUACUCUUAUGUUGAGUCUCAAGUUGAGUCACGUCAAGCUCAAGAAGUCUAAAUUUAACUUACAAGUCCUUCCAUUGAACGUCUCAAGUCAUUUCAACAACAGAGUAAUAUCAUUUAAACAGACUAUGUGUGCUUUUAAUAACUAUUUACUUAUCAUAAUUUUAAAAGCACAUUAGAGAGACAAAUUUGUUGUUUUUUGUGCUAAUUAAAUAAAAUGUAAUUGAGGCAGAUUGACUGACAUACAAAAUCAAUAUAUUUACAAUUGAAAACAAAGGUGAGACAAAGAAAAGUAGGAUUAAAGUUGUGCACAAAGUAUUACUUCUAAACAUGGGUUUUUGUUUGUGCUUUUGGCAUAUGGUGUUCACACAGAUCUGCCACAAUCAAAUACUGGCCUGUGUCUGUGGCACAAAUCUAAUAGAGUUUGCUCCAGGCUUUUUCUUUAACAGUUUUAUUCCGAUGUAUAAAAGAUUUGUUAUACAGCUGGGCACAAACCACAAUUAUUUAUUCCUCCUGCAUGGUCAAUUUUUAAAUGUUUGGUACUUUUGUGUUAUGUAAAAAAAGCAAUCCAUUUGUCACUAUAAAAUCUGAGUCCCUGAUUGGUUACAGUUCAACUGGUUUAAUGUGUGAAUGUAGCUUAAUGCUUCUAAUGCAGCUAAUGUGUAAUGUGUCACAAACAAGUUCUAGAGUUACAGUAAACACCGUUAAUAUGGUCUGACUGACUGACAGACUUAACUUUGACUCUUUUUCUUGCUUACUAAGCCUUUCAGUAUGCCUUGUAUAUGACUUAAGGUUAAAAAAUAGGAAAUUUAUUAACAUUGCAGCUACGCCUGUAGUGCUAAAAUACUUUAUCCUCAUCCUUCCACUUGGAAGGUAACCAGCCAACUUGAUGAGUUGCAGAGAAAGGGACAUAAAGAAAAUAAGAAAAAUAGAACAAUGUGCUGACAUAACUUUGAUUCUGUUGGACCUCACGUGCUACUUACUGUUUUUUAUUCAUGGUCUAUUUCCAUCAUGUCACUUCUUCUUUUUAUUCAUGUUGUGCAUUUUUCUUCUGGAACGAGUGCUCCUGUAAGAUGUAAAGCCCUUAAAAACUUGGCUUCUCUUUCGCACUGCAACAUAAAUAUUCAUAAGUGAAUGAGCAGCCAUCAUCCCACCAGUUCUGAUGAUGGAAAAACUGUAAUGGCUCUUUCAUUUUGAUUUGUUUAAAAUGCUCUCCUUUUUUUUUUUUUUUUUUAACAAACUCCAAAGAAGAACAGAAAAAAGUAAAAAUUUUAAUGAAUGUCGUAUUUUAGCAUGUGAAGUUUAGAUUAGUUGUGACAAAGCUCUGCAAACUAGAUUGCAUAACUGAUUUGAGCCGCAGGUUUUUUUUUUUUGUUUUUUUUUUUUUGCAUCCCAUCACAUUUUAAAUUUGAGGUUUCUCAUUAAUCCAUGUUAAAAUAAGAAAAAGAAAAAAGAACAAAACAAAACAAUGGAGAGACAGUCUGGGCAUGAGGUAAGCCCUAAAGCUGCCAUAAAGUGAAGGUCAUAAUGUUUCAUGGUCAGUGCUGUCACCAAAUUUUGCAUGAGAAAAUUAAUUAUUUUCAAAUAUUCUGCAUGGGCCUAAAGGGAGCUUUUUAAUUAAUUAUGUAACUAUGAUGUUAAGUACUCAUAAUAUACAUGGUGAUUAUAGAAUGUUCCAUUUCAAUAACAGGAUUUUUGCAACUGUUACUUUAAUUUAGUGCAUUUUUUUCUGGGUGAUGAUCUGUUGUCACAAAUUUCAGACAGUGUAUAAGCAGGUAGGCCUAAAAUUGUUGGUUUUUAUCAGGUAAAAUACAAUUUGUUCUUUUGUUCAAGAGUCGCAAGCUAAAACUUCCUAAAAUUAUUUAGUGUGCACACAAUUUAACAAGUCAGGACACCCAAAAAAAUGGAGAGUAACACACAUAAUUGUAAAAAAAUAAAAAAAAA